rnacentral:misc_RNA from 1 species
UGUUACGUUGUUUGUUUUUAUCAUGACGUAUUUUUAUAAAUAAAUUAUCACCUCAAUAUGUUACAUAUAUAAAUAUAUGUAAUAUUUUGGGGCGUUCAUUUUGGUAGCCGUAAAAUAAAAAAGCCAUUCUGAUGGGAAAUUGUUCUUCAGUGCCGAUAAAGGUACUCAUAGUUGGACCAGUUAAUGCAGGAAAAACUUACUUGCUCUAUGCAAUGAAAAUGGGAGUUGACAAAAUCAUUGCUCCAAGACCAACGCAAAAGUACAAUGUCGAGAUCAUCAUUUCCCCUAAGUCUCAUAUAAGGUUCGUGGUCUAUGACAUUUGUGGAAAAGCGGACAAGCGUCCACAUCAGAAAAACUUCUAUAGGGGAACUCAUGGGGUCAUCCUCGUGGUGAACUGUUCUGACAGCGCUAACAUAGAAGAGGCCAAGAAGGACCUCGAACAAUUGGUGGGAGCUGUUGAAUUGCGCACAGUUCCAAUCUUAGUAGUAGCAAACAUGGUGAAUACUCCAGUGGGACCUCCCUGUAUUUACUGGCCUGCAUGACGGUACAUAAGUCUGCGCAGCAAACAUUAAAAACAAGCACUUCUGUCGCUAAUAUUCACAGAAACAACAACAGGUGAUGGAUCCGACUUUUUGCGUACAGGUUAUACUAAACCAAAUA